UACGUAGGGUGCGAGCGUUGUCCGGAAUUAUUGGGCGUAAAGAGCUCGUAGGCGGUCUGUCGCGUCGGUCGUGAAAACUUGGGGCUUAACCCUGAGCUUGCGGUCGAUACGGGCAUGACUGGAGUUCGGCAGGGGAGACUGGAAUUCCUGGUGUAGCGGUGAAAUGCGCAGAUAUCAGGAGGAACACCGAUGGCGAAGGCAGCCCCCUGGGCUGAGAUUGACGCUCAGGCACGAAAGCGUGGGGAGCAAACAGG
rnacentral:rRNA from 1 species